CAGAUGAGGGCCUACCUUUAUCGUAUAUAGUGCUGAUUUCUUCUGCAGCUGGAUCUCUGUUGAUUGCAGUUUCAGUCGUGAUCUGCUGCAUCUACAGGAAAUGCAGAAAAUCAGCUCAGACCCAGGAUGAAGACAGAACUGAUUCAGCGUUGUGUAAACCAACAACACAGAAAACGAAAUCAAAGACUGAGGCGGUGUAUGAAAAUGUACCCAAAAAGCGAUGAUCAAACACUGCAUCUGCUGGAAUUUUCUUUUGAGCUCAGUACAUCAAUACAAUUGUUUUAUUCACAUUCAUUAUCAAUUGAGAUGCCACUGUUUGUAUCAUAUCUGUGUGUCGCUCUGGUGUCUAAAAUGUUUUUAUGAAUUAAAUUAGUGGUUUAUCAAUAGGAUAUUAUCUAGAAACGCAACUUUUGUAUAUGGCUUACAAUAGGGAAUUUACCUAACCAUCAUUAUUAAAUAUUAAUUACACUCUUGCGCACUUUUGCCUGUCAUUUACUUUGCAUUUUAUGAUUUUUACUAAAAAUAACAGAAUAUCAAGGGCACCGUAUUGUAUCUGUUUUCAGCAAAAGUAGCAUAUUAUCACUCUCCGAAGCUGAAAGACUCAUCUUUAAUAAUAGUGCUACUUUUAAAUCAAUAGAUUGUUCUAUGAACACAUACUGAAUCAACAAAAUAAAGACGCGUGUCUGUUUGAUCAUCGCCUCCUGGUGCCUCUUCAGUGGAGUACACACAGGGUUCAGUCAUUUUAUAAGAAUGACAACUGCUGUACAACUGGAUGAACUUUCGAAACAUGCAGCUUUUCAGCUCGUCUGCCUGUUCCUGUCAUCAGCAGACUCUUCACGGUGUCCUUCAUCAUCAUCAUCGUCUUGUUCACUGUUGUGUUCGGUGGUGAACGUGGGUCAUGUGACUCUCUCCUGGUACAAAGGAAACAGUUUAUGGUCCAGCAUCAGUGUGUCUGAUCUCAAACAGACUGAGGGCAAAACUCAACACUAUACAAACAGACUUGUUUGUUAAAAUGAUUUAUUUUGUUUAUCAUUUAUUUAUUAAUAUUGAGACAGAAGAUCGGACCUUACAAAAAUACUAGUAAAUAGUGGCAUUUAUUCCCUUUUAUUUUCAUAAUGUUUUCCUCCUACAAAGACCUGAACUUCCUCAUCCUCCUGCUGGAGCAGGGGGAUUGCUCUCUCGAGGAAUAUACAGAGACAUUCUUCCUCCUUGCCAACGACUCCCGUUACCCGGACAGCUUUCUGUGCGGAAUUUACUUCAGCGGACUAAACAUCUCCAAUCAGGCGCAGCUGUCCGGCAGCGGUCCUCGAGAGAGCAUCGCCGCUGACGUCGAGUGAGUGCUGGUGUCGUGCAAUUCGUCAAUGACUGUUAGGCUGGAGGACAACGACACCAGCCCCACUCAGGAUCCAGAGCCCAGCCCAUCACUUCACCGCAUGGUCGAGCCACAGCCUGAGCCAACCGCUGACACAGGUGUAGAGUCGAGCAAGACCACGGACCCAUCGCCGAGGAGAGCGACAGAGCCGUUGAGCCCCACCGGACCCAAGCCAAUUAAGUCAGACCAGGUGUGUGAGCCGGCAACAGAGCUCGCCAUGGUGGAGACACUCCACCCACUGCACUACGGCUGGAUCUACGAGAGGAACUGGAUAUGGAUAUGGAAAUGGCGCUACAAGUCUGUGUUUCGCGGUCCAAUCGCUGAGCUCGCUUUCCAUUUUGAGAAUGGACGGGAGCCAAUCAGAUCGCUCGC